UACGGGGGGGGGCUAGCGUUGUUCGGAAUUACUGGGCGUAAAGCGCACGUAGGCGGCUUUGUAAGUUAGAGGUGAAAGCCCGGGGCUCAACUCCGGAACUGCCUUUAAGACUGCAUCGCUUGAACAUCGGAGAGGUAAGUGGAAUUCCGAGUGUAGAGGUGAGAUUCGUAGAUAUUCGGAAGAACACCAGUGGCGAAGGCGACUUACUGGACGAUUGUUGACGCUGAGGUGCGAAAGCGUGGGGAGCAAACAGGG
rnacentral:rRNA from 1 species